CCUUUAGUUUUGAGGUUGGUGUACUGUGUGUGAGUAUACUUAUUUAUCACACACAGUCACUGUCUUCGAAAGUGAGGGUGC
rfam:Dipodomys ordii contig_56858, whole genome shotgun sequence.